rnacentral:rRNA from 1 species
GACGAACGCUGGCGGCGUGCUUAACACAUGCAAGUCGAACGGAAAGGCCCUGCUUUUGUGGGGUGCUCGAGUGGCGAACGGGUGAGUAACACGUGAGUAACCUGCCCUCGACUUUGGGAUAACUUCAGGAAACUGGGGCUAAUACCGGAUAGGAGCUCCUGCUGCAUGGUGGGGGUUGGAAAGUUUCGGCGGUUGGGGAUGGACUCGCGGCUUAUCAGCUUGUUGGUGGGGUAGUGGCUUACCAAGGCUUUGACGGGUAGCCGGCCUGAGAGGGUGACCGGCCAAAUUGGGACUGAGAUACGGCCCAGAUUCCUACGGGAGGCAGAAGUGGGGAAUAUUGCACAAUGGGCGGAAGCCUGAUGCAGCAACGCCGCGUGCGGGAUGACGGCCUUCGGGUUGUAAACCGCUUUCGCCUGUGACGAAGCGUGAGUGACGGUAAUGGGUAAAGAAGCACCGGCUAACUACGU